UCGGCGCAGCAUGCGAUCGCAGCAGGGGCCAUCUCGGUGGGCUCUGUUGAGGAACGUCCGGGCACGACAGGGCGCAACGGUGAUCCGGCAUCUCGAAAGAGUCGCUUGGUCACCCGGCUAGAGCACGCUCCGGAGUGGAGCACUGGUCGAGGGAAAGUGCCACAGAAAACACACCGCCGAUGGCUCGCAGUCUGUUCGAUGCGGGAUCAGGUAAGGUUGAAAAGGUGCGGUAAGAGCGCACCGCCCGGCUGGUGACAGUCGGGGCACGGUAAACCCCGUUGCGUGCAAGGUCAUGCAGUGUCCGCACCGCAAGGUGACGACCGGCCCGGUCGGAAGGACGCGGGUAGACCGCAGGGAGCAAUCCCGCGUUGUGAUCCGUCUUUGAUGGGUCACAACGCAGAGAAAUGAUCGCGCUGCUGGACAGGCACUCGCAAUCGCGCCGGAGCGCGCGAGUGAACCAGCCAGCGGACAGAACCCGGCGUAUCGCUGCGUCAUGCUC
rnacentral:RNase_P_RNA from 1 species